rnacentral:rRNA from 1 species
CUUGGUGUGAAUUGCAGAAUCCCGUGAACCAUCGAGUCUUUGAACGCAAGUUGCGCCCCAAGCCGUCAGGCCGAGGGCACGCCUGCCUGGGCGUCACGCAACGUCGCCCCCAACACCUCGCGUGCUGGUGGCGGAUAUUGGCCUCCCGUGCGUGCAUUGCUCGCGGCU